UACUAGAUAACACAUCCACUAACAUUAUAACUACUCAUUAUCAGAAACUGAACGAUAUCACAAUAUAUAAAUACACGUAUAUCCAUAAAAAAAAUACAGGCUUCUCUCCGUAACAAUUCUUCACGGAAAGAAUUUCGCCCAUCAAAAAAGCAAAAACUUCUGAAAAAGAAGAUGAGUUGCAUUUGAGAAGAAGAAGAAGAAGAAGACGUGGUGGAUGAAUCUCCAAAGAUGGGAAGAAAAAGAAGAAGAAGGAGUGGUGCUCAAGAAGAAGCGGAGAGGAAGAAGCAACAUCGGUAAAGAAUAAAUUCACCUGAUUUCCUCAUCCUAAUAGAUACAUCAAACGCAUCCUCUGUCACAAAAUCAUGGUUGCUCUUCUCAUCAAACCAUCUUAAAUUUACCAACAAUCGUCCUUGGUUGUUGUCGUCACCAUAAAAAUUGAAGCAUUCGUAUGUCAAUAGAUAACCGGAUGAAUCGAUGGUCGUUUCUGAUGAGAAUUGCGCCACGUUCUGUGAGGUUUUGCAACCCUAGAAAUUUAUAUGCGAAUUGUAUAAAUUGUUGAGGUGGAUGUAUCUUGGUACUUGAAAAUACAUAAAAAUUGGCU